CGGAAUACUCGCUCUAGUCUGGAACACGAACAAAGCUGCUUGAAAAAUUCAAACCCGGAUGCAACUGUGAACACGGAACGCGAUGUUACAUCGUCGAUUCAAGAAGGAUCUAUCUCGGAAAGGCGUCGUGUCAUUAAAAACAUACGCCGAUCGUCUAACGGAACAGCUGAUGAGGCAACGCUACUGAACCUGUGACAAAUUCUCAAGGGGACAUCUUGUCAAGGCAUGGAUAAAGACGGUUUGGAUAACGAUGCCGAGUUGUCUCAUUCCAACCACAUUCUAUCCAGCGAUUACGUUAACGACAAUCGUAGCCAAGAAUAUUCACCUGAUAUGCAAACCGUCUCAUAUUUCGAACUGCAUGACAAAGAGAACGUAAUAAUGAUGCUGAUUACAUGAUACGAGAUCGAACAGUUUAUAAACAGGGAGAAAGAAAGAAGAAGGAAGGAUGACGAAAAGAAGCUGAUAGAAAAAAAACAGAAAUAAAAACACAAGAUCAGGAUGCGACGUGCAAAAUGGCGACUCGCAGGGAAAGCGAGGGCAAAAAUGGCGCAGUUACGUGUACUCGC